UGGGGAAUAUUGGACAAUGGGGGGAACCCUGAUCCAGCAAUGCCGCGUGUGUGAAGAAGGCCUGAGGGUUGUAAAGCACUUUCAGAGGGGAGGAGGACUAUUAGGUUAAGAGCUAGAUAGUUGGACGUUACCCUCAGAAGCAGCACCGGCUAACUACGUGCCAGCAGCCGCGGUAAUACGUAGGGACCAAGCGUUGUUCGGAUUUACUGGGCGUAAAGGGCGCGUAGGCGGCAAUUCAAGUCAUCUGUGAAAUCUCCGGGCUUAACUCGGAACGGUCAGAUGAUACUGCUUUGCUAGAGUGCAGAAGGGGCAAUCGGAAUUCUUGGUGUAGCGGUGAAAUGCGUAGAUAUCAAGAGGAACACCUGAGGUGAAGACGGGUUGCUGGGCUGACACUGACGCUGAGGCGCGAAAGCCAGGGGAGCAAACGGGAUUAGAUACCCCCGUAGUCCCUGAGCGGGCUGGCAAGGCGCAU
rnacentral:rRNA from 1 species